rnacentral:rRNA from 1 species
AGGAUAAACGCUGGCGGCGUGCCUAACACAUGCAAGUCGAGCGCCCCGCAAGGGGAGCGGCAGACGGGAGAGUAACACGUGGGAACGUACCCUUCAGUUCGGAACAACCCAGGGAAACUUGGGCUAAUACCGAAUACGUCCGUAAGGAGAAAGAUUUAUCGCUGAAGGAUCGGCCCGCGUCUGAUUAGCUUGUUGGUGAGGUAAUGGCUCACCAAGGCUACGAUCAGUAGCUGGUCUGAGAGGAUGAUCAGCCUCACUGGGACUGAGACACGGCCCAGACUCCUACGGGAGGCAGCAGUGGGGAAUAUUGGACAAUGGGCGCAAGCCUGAUCCAGCCAUGCCGCGUGGGUGAUGAAGGCCCUAGGGUUGUAAAGCCCUUUCGGCGGGGAAGAUAAUGACGGUACCGCAGAAGAAGCCCGGCUAACUUCGCGCCAGCAGCCGC